GAAGAAGGGGGUGUAUAAUCUGUUAUUUCCAAGCUGGGGUGCCAAUCAUUUCGACUUUGUUAGGGCACGCUGAAGUAAUCCUGUAAACGCUGAAGUAAUCCUCCAGUAACCAGUUUCAGUAAUGAAUUUCUUGGAAAUUUGGACCUGCUUACCAUCUUCGGGCGCAUGGUUUUUCUGCUGUGUACGACCAGCCCAUGCUGGGUCAAGGGAUGGCCGAUAACCCAUUGAAUUUGUUCCCUCCCUCCCCUUUCCCCCUCGAGGUCUCACUAAUUCAAGUGUGGGCAUCAGUGUCACUCAAUUUGGUAGCUUCAUUGAGACAGCCAAUGGUUUAACAUU
rnacentral:misc_RNA from 1 species